rnacentral:ncRNA from 23 species
CAUGACAUGAAAACACAUCCUCAUAUAAUCUUGGGAAUAUGGCCCAUAAGUCUCUACCCGAUGACCGUAAAUCAUCGGACUAUGCAGGAAAGUGGACAAUAAA